UCUCCGUAGGUGAACCUGCGGAUGGAUCAUUACUGAGUGAGGGCUCACGCCCGACCUCCAACCCUUUGUGCACACAUCUUGUUGCUUCGGGGGCGACCCUGCCGGCACUCUGUCGCCGGGCGCCCCCGAAGGUCUCCAAACACUGCAUCUUUGCGUCGGAGUUUAAAACAAAUUAAACAAAACUUUCAACAGCGGAUCUCUUGGUUCUGGCAUCGAUGAAGAGCGCAGC
rnacentral:misc_RNA from 1 species